GAAGAGGUGGUGUACACACACACACAGGAAUAUUGCUCAGCCAUCAAAAAGAAUGAAAUCUUGCCUAUUGCAAUUAUGUGGGUAGAACUAGAAAUUAUCAUGCUAAGUGAAAUCAGUCAGUUGGGGAAUGUAAAUUGUCACAU